GCCCAGCAGCCUAAAACAUCUACAGCAGAGUUUAUUCCCCCCCCACUUUUGGAAGUGCAACUGAUUUAGUCAGAAAGAAAGCAUGGAUCCAGGAACAGCUCUCCCCAAGCUGGAUGAAAGCAAUUACGAAACUUGACGAUUUCUCAGCUCACAUGGCCAACCUUUUAGAGAUGAACAGAUUUCUAAAACAAUGUGGAUCUGAAUUAAAUGAUCAAAUGUUUAUCGGACUGAUUUUACAAUCUUUGCCUCAAAGUUUUGAGCCUGUGACCAUGGCUCUGGAAGCAUCAGGCACUAAGCUUAAAUUGCAAAGCGUUAUAGCAAGUCUGGGGAAUUUUAGCUUUAAAAGGGAACAAGAAAGUUCUAAAAGAGAGGGGAGAAAUAAAUAAAUUCUGCUGUAGAUGUUUUAGGCUGCUGGGCCCAUAACCCUGUUGGAGGGCGAAUUUACCAGUGAUGUUAAUUAGCAGAGCACUAAAGAAGCUACCCCCACUCUGUAACUGGAAUGCAGAGUUUAGUUGUUGCAGCUAUUUAUAGAAGACAUAUGGAGAUUCUUGUAGAAUCUAGAUACAAAGUAGAUUUAUUGGUGAAGUACACUUUGGAUAGGAAAGACCUAAUCCUAUAUAUAGGCUCUACAAGGUCUAACAGAAACAAAACAAAACAAAAAAGCAGUUCUGUGCAGGCAAGACAACACUCUGCCACUGAGAGCCAGUCACUGUGGUGAGAUGUCUCUGGCUGGAAAGACCAGACUUCAAACUACUGCAUGAAGCUUGGUGGUGAGGUUGUGACCACUCUCCUUCAGCCCUUCCUCAGGGGUUGUUCUGGGGAGAACCCAGUGUAAGCUGCCCUGAUUUCCAGCGAAGACAGGUAGAAUUAACAACGAUCAAGUCAUGAGAAAGAAUCAGCAAGUGGUAUUUCAGGAUCGCCGCAAAGGCAACUCAACUCACCACAUAUUUGGCCGCCUGAUGGAGCACACGAUGGAGGCUAUAGGUUUUGGGGUCUACCCGCCACCUCACCUCUGGGACCAGCUGUUUCAGAGUGGCCUUUGUUGCCUGCAAUACAAGCAGAGUUGAACUUCAAGACCUAAAGACAGACAGCACUGAUAGCUUUUCAUCAGAUGCUCCCUCCAGUGGCAGCUUCUCCAGGAUGAAGCUGACCUUGACCAGCCCUUCCUAUUGAUUUCUCCUUCUCCUACCUAUGUUUACUUGGGAGUAAGUGCCACUGAGAACAGGAACUUUCCCAGAUGGCCAGUUUUACUGCAGCAGGAAGUGACUGAAAUUAAGCCAUUUUGAGCAAUGCACCAAAGUACUACUUUUUGUAGGACACAUAUAAUGUGUCAUAACUGCAAAUCAGGAGGAAAACUGAAUAAGGCUUAACAACAAGGGACUGCUGUAAAUGGAUCCUUCGUAUGAACUCUUCCCUGACCCCGCCUAAAUGUUGCAAAGCUGCAUUAAAUCGCCAUUUGGAAAAGCUCCAGGAGUUAUUCCCAGUUUGCAACUCGGCCAUCAGUGGUGGUUUUCCAAUCUAAAUAGUGGUCCCAGAAUGCAGGUCUGGGAGGUUUUCCAAUCUAAAUGCAGUGGUGGUUUUCCAAUCUAAAUAGUGGUCCUUAAAUGCAGUGGUGGUUUUCCAAUCUAAAUAGUGGUCCUUAAAUGCAGUGGUGGUUUUCCAAUCUAAAUAGUGCUCCCAGAAUGCAGUGGUGGUUUUCCAAUCUAAAUAGUGCUCCCAGAAUGCAGGUGUGCUGUUUAAAGUAUUUGUACACUUGCGCCAAAGUGCAAGAAUGCCAGUGCUUCACUGUGAGCAUGUGCAAGUGGAUCAGCACCACCGACAUUAGACUGCAUUGGAUGUUGGCCAGUAUGCAAAAGAUGACUUGCAACUCUAACCUUUCUCUUCUGGAAUGUUUUUGAAGGGAACAACCUUUGGUCUAUUAUUCAGACUGCUGGCAACUUGAAGAGCCAGAGAAGGAACAGCCCACGGGUGGUUCAGGCUUUCCAUCUGCCCUCAGUUUAGCUCUUUACCCCAGGAGGACCAUGGCCCCCCUUCUAGCCUCAACACCACUGUUCAGUCCAGUGUGGAAGCCAAGUCAAAAGCAAAUGGCAAUGAGCAGCUGAGGGGCACACAAGGCGGCCUGGGAACUCUGAUCACACUGAGCAACUGCAUUUAAAGAUACCGUGGCCUUGGGUUUACUGAACUGCCUAGGAAGAUAAGACGCUGAAGGCUGACGCUGAAGGUUGAAAGCUGCACGCGAUGGGAGCAAAGCACAGAAAGAAAAUCUCCAAAGAUAAAAAAGGUGGGAAAAUGCCCCGUCCCGCAUUAAACAACUUCUUGACUAAAACCGGAGGAGGAAAGAACACUCCCACAGAAAGGAAGGAACCACUUUUCACUCAGCUUCCUCAAUCUGUUCCACUAAAUGAUAAUCAGAAGGGAAACGUGGAGGAUGCUUUCGUGCUGCUGAAUUCCUCAGUGAACCCAGAAAUAGACAGUAUUGCCUGUCGAUCUAGACAUCGUCCUAUGCUCAGAUAUGACUGUUUGGGCUGCAGCCAUCUUGGAGUGGAUUGCCAAAUGCGUCUUAUAACUCAGCUUAUUCCUCUGAUGCCAUGUCCAGAGUCUUCCCACCGGGAUAUGCUUCUGUGCGAUAUGUUCAGCCAUCCUGGUGAUUUAGUCACACAUGAGCCUUCUCUUCCUACAGGCUCGAAACAUAGUGUUUCUGGUUGUAAUUGUGUAAAUUGGAGUUUUAUUAGUUGGAUUAUAGCGGAGUGGGCUGGGAAAAGAUGUAACCUAGCAUUUUUAUCUUUUUUACAAAAGUAGGAUGUGUUACUGCUGCAGGAAACAUGGUCUAAGGAAGAUUUAAAUAUCAACGGCUAUGUGAUUUAUAAAUUGUUGCCCACUCUGACUCCAAUAGGGGAAGACUCAAAGGGGGCUUGACUUGCUGUGUUUUGCUUUCCUUAGAAGAGGACUCUCUAUGGUUGCUUGACUUUUUUCCUUUUGCAAUGGCUGUUCUCAUUAAAACCCCAUGUGAGGACAUAUUGUUAAUUAAUGUUUGCAUCCCUCCCCCCCCCCAGUUCCUCUUAUGGCCCUAUGGCUGCCAUUUAUCAACUGGACUCUUAUAUCCUGGAAACUAGUUUGAAGAUCCCGUGCGCUGAGAUUCUGCUCUCGGGUGAUUUCAAUGCAAGAUGUGGCCCGGAUAAUAAUGCAGUAAUCGCCUCCCAUUUGUGGAGUGGGGGUGAUAACUCAGAUGGUUCCUUUACUCAUAUUUGCUUAUCUAAAGAUAGAGUCCUUAAUAAGGCAGGGGCUAAAUUGUUACAUCUUGCUAGAUCUUUUGAUCUGAUUCCUUUAAAUGGUACUGUCCCCCCUGUCAUCCCAGGUUAAUUUACAUAUUUAUCCUCUUGUGGCAGCAGUGUGGUGGACUAUAUUUUGGUUUCUCCCCUGCUGUUUAAUUGGGUCGUACUGUUUGAAGUGGGCGAUCAAGCUUUUAGAGAUCACCUGCCCCUUCUUUUUUGCCUUGAUAUACCACAAGCUAGAAAAGAUUGUUUUAUUUCUAGCUCAGUUGAAUCCUUCCCUACUAAAAUGGGAUGGAAGGUAAAAUGGUCACCUGAUGUGGAAAGGGCAUUGAAUACCCUGUAUUCUUCUGCAGUUGGCAUUGAGUUAUAUAACUGUGUUGUGCAGGCCCCGUCGGGAGCGCUAGCAAUCUCCUGUUAUGAGAAGCUUGAGGCUGAGGUUUCGCAAAAGAUCCUGACUACAGGUCAACUGCACUCUUUUAAGAGAGGUAGGAUGAAUGACUCUAAUGAGUGGUUUGACUCCCAGUGCAGGGAUCUGUUUCCCAGGCUGAGGGGCAUAUAUAGGGAAUACAGAGCUGGUUCCAACCAAGUGCUCCCUCCAGAAUAUUUCACAACUAAGAAAGCUUAUAAAAUAUGUGUGAGGUCUGCCAAGUCCCAGGCACAGAAAAACAUCUGGAGGAGAUUAAUUUUGGCCACUCAUAAUAAGGAUAGUGGUGCCUUCUGGCACAUUAUUUCAGGUUCUACAUAUCCUAGAGUGCUUUCUGUGGUUCCCGCACCCGCUUGGGUAGCCCACUUUCAUGCUCCCUUUAAUGGAGCUUUGGCCUCUUUGGGUAAUGAUCCCUCCACCCCUGAGAAGUUGCCCUUGUGGCCACCUCUUACACUGGAUGAUACAGUUAAUCUAGUUAGAGGUCUAAAGAAAAGGAAAGCGCCUGGUUCUGAUCUCAUUUUCCCUGUAGACAGUAUUAGGUAACCUUGAUUGGUGGGCUCAUGUCCUAGCCAGUUUGUUUACCUCAAUUAAUAACAGGUGUUAUUCCCUCUUCCUGGAGUGAGGCCAUUGUGGUCCCUAUUUAUAAACAUGGCUCCCCCUCCAUCCCUUCCAACUAUAGACAAACUUUACGCCCGAUAGGCAAACUUUACGCCCGUUAUCUUUUGGAUAAGUUGGAGGGCUGGACGCUGGAGUACCAUAUUCUAGGCCCCGAGCAGGCGGGAUUCAGGGCUGGCCACUCGACGCUAGAUCACAGUAUGGUAUUAUACCAUCUGGCAUGCAAGUAUACAGGGUAAACUCUUUGUCACAUUCAUGGAUUUGUGAGCUGCUUUUGAUUCCAUACCAAGAGAGGUACUAUGGGAUAAACUUCUUUUGUUGUUUGUAGUGAAAUAUCUAUUGAUAAAAGGCUCUUAUUCCUAAUCAGACGACUUUAUGCCAAUUCCACAAUCAAAGUUAGAUAUGAUCCUUCAGGGGCCCUAACUGAGCAUAUUCCUACCACCCGAGGAGUCAGGCAAGCUUGUCUGCUGGCACCUGCAUUGUUUAAUUUAUUUAUUAAUGACCUGGUCCAGGUUUUGGGAAGGGCGGAUGCCCAUUCUCCUAAACUGGCAGAUGUAAGAGCACUGGCGUUGUUAUAUGCUGAUGACAUGGCGUUUUUAUCUCAGUCUCGGCUUGGCUUAAUGAGACUCUUGGAGGCGUUUGCCAAGUAUUGUAAUAUAAACAAACUUUCCAUUAACUUUGAUAAAUCAAAGGUUUUGGUAUCUCGAAUUCUAGGAAAGUUUAUAAAUGGAGGAUCAACCAGACCAGUAUAGAACAAGUCACCAAGUUCAAAUACCUUCGGAUCUAUUUCCAAUCCAACUUGAACUGGAAAUUGCAGCAGUUACACUUUCUCUCCCUGGCACGUAACACACUAUAUGCCUUUUUGUGCUUUUUUAAUGGAAAAGGCGGCCAAUUUAUACCUAUGGCUUUGCGAGUGUUUCGAGCCAAGAUUGUGGCUCAAAUGCUCUUCAGAGUUGCUAUCUGGAUCCAAGGGGUACAUCCAGAUAUCGAAUUGAUCCAGUCUAGAUUCCUUAGAGCCAUUUUCAGAGUUCCCAAAUGUGUAUCUUCCGCUGCUUUAUGUUUGGAGACCGGCUCUUAUCCGAUCUCCUGUUUAGCUUGGGAGGCCUCAUUCACACGCUGGCUCAAACUCUGUUUGGGACCCUGAGGGACCUUCAUAUGUUCAACAUAUGUGGACAGACACCUUCCCUAAUCCAUGGUUGUCUGUUGUCACCAACAAAUUGUUGGGCAUGGGGCUUUCCCCCUCUCACAUUUUCUCCUUGGGUUUUGUAAAGGCGAAGGCUAUUGCCAUUCAGCACCUAAAGGAUAUUGAGUACCAACACCUACUUGACCUUGGAAACAAAUAUGGUUCCCCUUUGUACCUUGGCAUUUCCCCUCCAGCUGGAAAACAGGCUGCUAGUUAUCUAACCAUUCUUCAUUUUGUUAAAUUUAGGCCAGCCUUUGCUAGGGCUAGGCUGAAUGUAUUACCUUCAGCCUUGCUUCAAAAGAGGUCCUCUACAGAACCCCCUGUUUCCGGGUUGUGUCUAUGUGGGGAGGGUAGUUUGGAAACAGUCACUCAUAUUCCUUUAUACUGUUCCCUUUAUCGUGAUUCUAGGAAUGAAUUACUGCAUCUAUUACUAGAGCAAUUCCUUGGUAGGUCUGAUCCUUUUUAUCUUAAUUGUUGUUUAGCUGAUACCAAUGAUGAAGUCACCAAAGUGUUAGCCAAAUUUAUUUAUGGGGCGAUGAGACAGACAUCCCGCCACAGACUUUUAUAAGUUUGCUCUUAUGGUAGUUUUAGUCUUACCUGUAUGUAUUGUUAUAUUUAUUCUGCUUAUUGUAAUUCUGAAUGGCUGUGUUAUUGUCACUUUUGUUUUUGUUUGGCCUAUGGCUGCAAUAAAAGAACUACUACUACUACUA